GACAGAGGCCCCCGAGCGUUAGGCGGAAUCACUGGGCUUAAGGCGUGUGUAGGCGGGCCCGUAAGUGUCUUGUGAAAUCCCACGGCUCAACCGUGGAACUGCUGGGCAUACUGGCGGGUCUGGGCCAACUAGGGGCAGCCGGAACAAGCGGUGGAGCGGUGAAAUGCGUAGAUAUCGCUUGGAACGCCGAAGGUGAAAACAGUCUGC
rnacentral:rRNA from 1 species